AGAGUUUGAUCAUGGCUCAGAGUGAACGCUGGCGGCGUGCUUAACACAUGCAAGUCGAGCGAAUUCUGGCAGCGUAUCGCCAGAGUUAGCGGCAGACGGGUGAGUAAUACUUGGGUAAUCUACCCUUGAGUGGGAAACAACCUGCCGAAAGGCGGGCUAAUGUCCCAUAAGACCACAGGAUGGCAUCAUCCAGGGGUCAAAGCUCCGCAAGGGGCGCUUUUGGAGGAACCCGAGUCCUAUCAUGGUAGUUGGCGAGGUAAUGGCUCACCAAGCCUUUGACGGGUAGCCGGCCUGAAAGGGUGAUCGGCCACACUGGCACUGAGACACGGGCCAGACUCCUACGGGAGGCAGCAGUGGGGAAUUUUGGACAAUGGGGGCAACCCUGAUCCAGCGACGCCGCGUGAAGGACGAAGGUCUUCGGAUUGUAAACUUCUUUUGAAGGGGAUGAAUGUUCUGGUGAAUAGCCAGACGUGACAGUACUCUUCGAAUAAGCCACGGCUAACUACGUGCCAGCAGCCGCGGUAAUACGUAGGUGGCAAGCGUUACUCGGAAUCACUAGGCGUAAAGCGCAGGUAGGCGGUUCGGUAAGUCUUUUGUGAAAGCUCCUGGCUCAACUGGGAGAGGUCAAAGGAAACUACCGGGCUAGAGUGUGGUAGGGGAUACUGGAAUUCCUGGUGUAGCGGUGAAAUGCGUAGAUAUCAGGAGGAAUACCUAUGGCGAAAGCAGGUAUCUGGGCCAUCACUGACGCUGAGCUGCGAAAGCUAGGGGAGCAAACAGGAUUAGAUACCCUAGUAGUCC
rnacentral:rRNA from 1 species